UCUUUCAUUCUUUGACUCACAGACACGGUUCCAUGUGGUCACAAAUGUAACGCUGCCUCUCACUGCCCGCGGUUCCGAAGGCCUCACGGAGCUGGUGAGGAGGAUUCGCGGCGAAUCCAAGCCGCCCCGUCCUAGAGUGUGUGGUCUCUCAGGAGCAGAAACAGAGACGGUGGACUUGAGCGUCUUUCAAGCCCAUUUGUUCCCAUUGGAAACGUUCCUCAUCCUCCAACCGUGUCUGCAGGCAGAAGAAAGGCUUUGUGGACCUUUUGCCAAGACUGGCAGUGAUAGCAGACUCACUGGACACUUCUCUUCCUUUACCGCCAAGAACAACGGAGAAGGGCGUCCAGGCCCAGUGGUGUCAUGAGCAACGGGUCCUCAAUGCCUGGUGGGAGCUGAGAGACCAGCGGCUGGGCCUGUUACCAGUGGAUGCUGUGGUUCUCCUGAUGUUCCAGGGGCUGAGAUUCAUGGCGGAGCCCUUGAAACGUCUGAUCUGUUGUUCGUCCCAGUGCGCAAACGAGUACAGCUGCAUAGUUUUGUCAGGUACUUUCCUGACCAGCAACAAACUGAUGUUUAGAUGAUUGUUUCCAACAGUUUCGAGUGCGAUGGCGCUAAAACGGCAGGUGGUGAGUUAUUGAUGGAGGUCUGAUAACUUCCAGUGCAAGUCAACAGAAGCACCAGGAUCACACUUUCUUGCCUUAUCCCCAAUCUUUGGAGGAAAGAUUCAGUUUUUAGCAAUUAUGACGAUGUUAGCUGUGAGAGUUUUGUACAUUCCCUUCAUCAGCUGCUGUCUACAAAUUUUGAUGUGUGGUGUAUUCAUCUUCAUUGAAUCUUCACCAUUUUCUCUAACGCAUAAGAUCUGAUGUUGACAUUUAUUUUCAAGACCAAGUGCAUCAGAAGAUGUGUCUGUAAAGCUUAGGACAAUCAAGUCUAGGGUGUGUGAGUGGAGAGGCUUUUGAUUCUUCCAGCUUCAUUUCUACUCUUUGUCAAGCAUUCCAGCCAAAGCUAACAGAGUGCAGUGUUUCGUCAUGCCAAGAGCAGAGGAGUACAAAGUUCUUCAAGAUUUUGGAAAAGAUGAUUAACUACUUAAUCAGAAAUUCUCUCACUCCAGACAGUUCGAUUAGAUUAACUGGCAGUUCAGUGAAACAGUCCUGAAAAGACACUUUCCUUUUCCAUUUUUGCUUAUUGUCCCCAUGGCUAAAGAGCAAACACUGUUCUAAGGCAACAAAUAACUGGGUAAGAUGGUAUCACAAUUACACCGAAUUCUGAAGCUCUUGCCUUUUCCAGUGGAAUGGUAUCAUGUUAGGAAAUAACGUACAAACGUUAAAAUACACACACAUUGUUUUUGACAGUAUUCUUGUUUUUUGGCAUGAAAAAACUUUGGAGUAGUGCUAUAAUUUUUAUGACAAAUGUAGGCUUGUGUGUGUCUUGGGUCUUUCACGGUACAUCUUUGCAGGAGUUGAAGAUAAUAUUCUUGAUUCAGGCCGCAAAGCUAAGAGUAUAAUCCUGGUUUGAACUACGGGGCCACUUAUGGCACUAAAGUGGAAAGAGAAACAGAGAAACACAGAUCCGUAGUACAGUUUUGAAGGCUUAAUCUAUAUUUUCAACAUUAAAUAGUAGGGGAUAUAUUUAAUUGAUUGCAAUUAAUUUUCCCUUGAUAAUAAAGGAGAGCCAGGCAGGUAACUAUAGGUUUUUUUCAUUGCUAAUGUUUUCUAUUGCUGAAUAUUUGGUGUACGUUGUGGACCUGUUGCUGAUACUUUAGGGAAAAGUAAGAUGAAAAGCAAACCAACCAACCAGUACCAUCUCUUGAGUGAUCAACAUGGGUCCGGGCAAUCCCAAGUGGGUGCUGCCUCUUUGCUGACCUCCAGUGCCUCCUGUUUAUACUUGGGUAGCAGCACUUUUCAUGUUGAAGUUCAUACUUUAGUUAGGUCUACAUAAAGUGGAUAUUUUUAAAACCACCAUUUCAAUCCUUAGUGAUGAGGUCAAUAUUGUAUUCACUUUUAUCUCUCACUGUGUCUAAGAGCAGUGUGUUAGCUGUUAAAUUCAAAUGAACAAAAGAUUGUAAGCUUGAGCGACUCAUUUCCGAUAUAAAGAACAAAGGAUGUGAAAAGAACAUUAAAAAAUUACCAGGCAAUGCAGAGUGAUGUAAAAUAUGACACAAAUGAACCUUAAAAUGUGUUCAAGAAAUGAUGAUAGCUUCAUAAAGUUGAAACUCAAGGGCUGGGGAUUUAGCUCAGCGGUUCCACCAUCUGCCUCACAAGCACAAGGACCCGAGUUUGGUCUCCGGUACCAAAAAAAGAUGAAACUCAAAUAGGUGGAAAUAUUGUUUCUGUUGCAACUAUGUGGACUAUUGGAUCCUUCAGCUUCCCUGUUGCUGGGAAAAAACACAUGACAGGCCCGACUUAACAGAGGAGAGGUUACUUUGGCUCGCAGUUCCCACGGUUUCAGUCCACGGUGAGCUGGCUCUGAGGCGGGCGCAUCAAGGAAGAAGGGCGUGGUGGAGCAGAGCUGCUCACUUCAUGACAGUUCAGGAAGCAGAGCUCCAGGUGAGAGCACCAGGGAGAGACAGAACCUCCACCAGCUGCCACCAGUGACCUCCUCCUCCAGCUGGACCGCACCUAGGUGGCACCCUGGGCUGUGAGCAGCAGUGGAGUAACCCACUGAGGAGAAUGGCACCACCAAUGACCUCUGCAGGAGCCUCUUUAUCCACGCAGGAUGAUGAGAUUAGCUGGGACGACCGUCAUCACUGAAUAUGAUACACCGUACGUACACUCGUGAGCAAAAUUCCUUCAUUUCUCAGCUGGACAGUCACCUUUGUUUUAGAAACCGAAGCUGCUCAGAAGAUUCACUGAACUACUUAUAUUUUGACUGGCAAUUUCUGCUACCUAAACAAGGAAACAUAUGGCUUCAUAUUAAUUUUCUAAAUAAAGAUGCUGGAAAUCAGCACUAAUAAUAUUUUUAGGAAAUAUUACUUCACUGCGUUACAAUAACAGUAAGUAAAACAAUCAUAAUUGAAGACAACAAAAAGGAAUGGAAAUUAUCGCCCCCAAAUGUGAUGGUCUUGAACCUAUCAUCAUUAGCUUUUGGUGAGAAUCAAAUAUUCAGAGUAUUUUCACAUGUGUAGUAAUUCAAAUAUUUUAUUCAUAAAGUUAUUUACACAUAAAUAGGAUAUAUAGGAAUUUUAAGAGAAUUUUUUGUUCAAAUAUUUCUUUAGGGUGACCCCCAAGGUGAUCUGGUGUAGCUUCCUCAUAACAUUUAAAAAAGAAAGCCGAACUCAAGGGAAAUAUUACUGUGUUACAUAAAGGGCAAUGUCCCAAGAGAAGCAGAAAGUUUGAACUCAAGUUCUGUCACUUGCUGAACAAAUUCUGGCUAAUCUUACACCUCAACAUCUCCAAACUUCCAUUUUC